AUGGAUGCCCAGCUUGCUGGGCGGAUUAGUGGCGAACGGGUGAGUAAUACGUGAGUAACCUGCCCUUGACUCUGGGAUAAGCCUGGGAAACUGGGUCUAAUACUGGAUACUACUUCUUGCCGCAUGGUGGGUGGUGGAAAGGGUUUUACUGGUUUUGGAUGGGCUCACGGCCUAUCAGCUUGUUGGUGGGGUAAUGGCUCACCAAGGCGACGACGGGUAGCCGGCCUGAGAGGGUGACCGGCCACACUGGGACUGAGACACGGCCCAGACUCCUACGGGAGGCAGCAGUGGGGAAUAUUGCACAAUGGGCGGAAGCCUGAUGCAGCGACGCCGCGUGAGGGAUGACGGCCUUCGGGUUGUAAACCUCUUUCAGUAGGGAAGAAGCGAGAGUGACGGUACCUGCAGAAGAAGCGCCGGCUAACUACGUGCCAGCAGCCGCGGUAAUACGUAGGGCGCAAGCGUUGUCCGGAAUUAUUGGGCGUAAAGAGCUCGUAGGCGGUUUGUCGCGUCUGCUGUGAAAGCCCGGGGCUCAACCCCGGGUCUGCAGUGGGUACGGGCAGACUAGAGUGCAGUAGGGGAGACUGGAAUUCCUGGUGUAGCGGUGAAAUGCGCAGAUAUCAGGAGGAACACCGAUGGCGAAGGCAGGUCUCUGGGCUGUUACUGACGCUGAGGAGCGAAAGCAUGGGGAGCGAACAGGAUUAGAUACCCUGGUAGUCCAUGCCGUAAACGUUGGGCACUAGGUGU
rnacentral:rRNA from 1 species